rnacentral:rRNA from 1 species
GGUCAAGUGACUAAGCGUGCACGGUGGAUGCCUUGGCAGUCAGAGGCGAUGAAGGACGUUGUAACCUGCGAUAAGGUUCGGGGAGCUGGUAAACAAGCUUUGAUCCGGACAUUUCCGAAUGGGGAAACCCACCUAUUUAUAGGUAUCUUUUACGUGAAUACAUAGCGUAUUAGAGGCGAACCCGGGGAACUGAAACAUCUAAGUACCCGGAGGAAAAGAAAUCAACCGAGAUUCCCUAAGUAGCGGCGAGCGAACGGGGAUUAGCCCUUAAGCAAUAAUGUAGUUAGAAGAACGCUCUGGAAAGUGCGGCCAUAGUGGGUGAUAGCCCCGUAUUCAAAAGCUUAUUUAUUGUGAAAUCGAGUAGGACGGGACACGUGAUAUCCUGUCUGAACAUGGGGGGACCAUCCUCCAAGGCUAAAUACUCCUGACUGACCGAUAGUGAACCAGUACCGUGAGGGAAAGGCGAAAAGAACCCCUGUGAGGGGAGUGAAAUAGAUCCUGAAACCGUGUACGUACAAGCAGUGGGAGCCGUUUUAGGACGGUGACUGCGUACCUUUUGUAUAAUGGGUCAGCGACUUACUUUUAGUGGCAAGGUUAAGCAAUUGCGGAGCCGUAGGGAAACCGAGUCUUAAUAGGGCGUCCAGUCGCUAGGAGUAGACCCGAAACCGAGUGAUCUAUCCAUGGGCAGGUUGAAGAUGCAGUAACAUGCAUUGGAGGACCGAACCGACUGUCGUUGAAAAGCCAGCGGAUGACUUGUGGAUAGGAGUGAAAGGCUAAUCAAACUCGGAGAUAGCUGGUUCUCCUCGAAAACUAUUUAGGUAGUGCCUCGUGUCUAACCAUGGGGGGUAGAGCACUGUUUCGGCUAGGGGGUCAUCCCGACUUACCAACCCGAUGCAAACUCCGAAUACCCAUGAGUUCAAUCACGGGAGACACACGGCGGGUGCUAACGUCCGUCGUGGAAAGGGAAACAACCCAGACCGUCAGCUAAGGUCCCAAAGUUUAUGCUAAGUGGGAAACGAUGUGGGAAGGCUUAGACAGCUAGGAGGUUGGCUUAGAAGCAGCCACCCUUUAAAGAAAGCGUAAUAGCUCACUAGUCGAGUCGGCCCGCGCGGAAGAUAUAACGGGGCUAAGCAUAACACCGAAGCUACGGAUGCACUUUGUGCAUGGUAGAGGAGCGUUCUGUAAGUGGUUGAAGCGAAAGCCGUAAGGCAUCGUGGACAUAUCAGAAGUGCGAAUGCUGACAUGAGUAACGAUAAGGGAGGUGAAAACCCUCCCCGCCGGAAGACCAAGGGUUCCUGUCCAACGCUAUUCGAGGCAGGGUGAGUCGGCCCCUAAGGAGAGGCUGAAGAGCGUAUCCGAUGGGAAACUGGUUAAUAUUCCAGUACUGCUCAUAACUGCGAUGGGGUGACGGAGAAGGCUAGACUAGCGCGGCGUUGGUUGUCCGCGUUUAAGGUAGUAGGCUAAGAACUUAGGUAAAUCCGGGUUCUUAUUAGGCUGAGAACCGAUGACGAGUUCCUAUAUGGAAUGAAGUAGUUGAUGCCAUGCUUCCAGGAAAAACCUCUAAGCUUCAGGUUAUGACUAACCGUACCCCAAACCGACACAGGUGGUCAGGUAGAGAAUACUAAGGCGUAUGAGAAAACUCGGGUGAAGGAACUAGGCAAAAUGGCACCGUAACUUCGGGAGAAGGUGCGCCGGUUUUGGUGAUGGGACUUGCUCCCUAAGCUGAGGCCGGUCGAAGAUACCAGGUGGCUGCGACUGUUUAUUAAAAACAUAGCACUCUGCAAACUCGAAAGAGGACGUAUAGGGUGUGACGCCUGCCCGGUGCCGGAAGGUUAAUUGAUGGGGUUAGCACUUGUGCGAAGCUCUUGAUCGAAGCCCCGGUAAACGGCGGCCGUAACUAUAACGGUCCUAAGGUAGCGAAAUUCCUUGUCGGGUAAGUUCCGACCUGCACGAAUGGCGUAACGAUGGCCACACUGUCUCCACCCGAGACUCAGUGAAAUUGAA